GGCACAAACUUGAAGUAGAGUACAUUAGUAUGGUCAGCUAAUCCUACUGAUCUAUUUUACUGCGAAUUUAGGCCC
rnacentral:pre_miRNA from 1 species